CCUGAAUCCCUCUAAAUGAUCCAUUACUACAUUUUCCAGGAAAAGGAACCCAGUCCUUGCUACAUACCUUCUGAAAGGUCAAGUUAUACCAAGAUGUCAUGUCGUGCGAGACCUUGGUGUCUACCAUGAUGAAAAACUAAUGUUUGAUGAACAUAUAGAUAAAAUCAUUGCGAAGGCCUCAAAAGCCCUAAGCUUCAUCAUGAGGAUCAAGAAGAUACAAUCCUCCACUUACUUGUGAAACCUACAGUACUAACUAUAGAGGUAACUCAUUCCUGGUGCGAGCAAGCAGAUCUUUUAAUUAUCUUUGCAAAGAGCUUAACUUAGAUCCCUAUACUACCAAAAG